GAGGAGGCUCUUCUGAGGCUGCUGCCGGUGGUCAAAGCCUCCAACAAAGCUCUACUGAGUGGCUGUAACCUGUCAGAGAGAAGCUGUGAAGCUCUGUCCUCAGUUCUCAGCUCCCAGUCCUCUAGUCUGAGAGAGCUGGACCUGAGUAACAAUGACCUGCAGGAUUUAGGAGUGAAGGUGGUGUCAGCUGGACUGAAGAGUCCACACUGUAGACUGGAAACUCUCAGUCUGUCAGGUUGUCUGGUCUCAGAGGAAGGCUGUACUUCUCUGGUCUCAGCUCUGAGCUCCAACCCCUCCCAUCUGAGAGUGCUGGACCUGAGCUACAAUCAUCCAGGAGACUCAGGAGUGAAGCUGCUGUCAGCUGGACUUAAGGACCCACACUGGAGACUGGACACUCUCAGGUAUGGACAGAUGGACAACACUGUCCC